GUAGGUGAACCUGCGGAAGGAUCAUUACCAAAUCCAAAUCCAAACCCCAUGUGAACUAUUGUAUAGUCUGUCUUUGGGAGAGAAAAAAGAAAAAUUUGUGAAAUUCACUUUCAUACUUUUUUUGGAUUUCUCUCCCAAUAGAGUCCGGCGCAACUUUACUGUUGUGUCCAGAUUCGAAACCCUUUUAAACCACUUGAUUUCUGUUGGAAUUUACUUUUAUUAAUUUUAAAUAAAAGACAACUUUUAACGG
rnacentral:misc_RNA from 1 species